GAUGAACGCUAGCGGCAGGCCUAACACAUGCAAGUCGAACGGUAACAUGAGAGCUUGCUCUUGAUGACGAGUGGCGCACGGGUGCGUAACGCGUAUGCAACCUACCUUUAACUGGAGAAUAGCCUUUAGAAAUGAAGAAUAAUACUCCAUAAUAUUUUCUUAUGGCAUCAUAAGAAUCUUAAAGCUUCGGUGGUUAAAGAUGGGCAUGCGUUCUAUUAGUUUGUUGGUGAGGUAACGGCUCACCAAGACUUCGAUAGAUAGGGGGCCUGAGAGGGUUGUCCCCCACACUGGUACUGAGACACGGACCAG
rnacentral:rRNA from 1 species